rnacentral:pre_miRNA from 1 species
UUUGCCUUCUGGGUCGAGCUCGUCGCACCGGGCUUGCCUAGAACGGGUUACC